CCAGUGUUACUAUGGUAACCACUUUUGCUUAAACGUAGUUGUGGACGCACUUUAGGUAGGCUCUAAAUUAACUGCAGAUGGAGGAGCAGCGCUGGGGAUCCAGCCAAAGGAGCAGAUACCCCCAUCAGCCCUUCUCUCUGCCCCCUGCCCUACUGGGGACACAGGCAGAGCAUUGUGCAGACUCAUAACACAGCCCAGAGCUGCUCGCUCGCUCCCUGCGGUCACUGGCUGGGUGGCACUGAGAAGAGGGGCCGGCAGCGGAGGCCUGCUGCAUGUCUUUGGUCCUCUUUGGGACCUCUCCCUGCAAGAGAGCAGAGCUGCAGGAAGGGAUUAAAGGAGCCUACGGUCUCAGGCACACCUGCCUUCCAACCUGAAAGUGAACAGCAGUGAGAUGGAGAUCACUGAGCAGAAAAUGGAGGGAGAGGCUCUUCUGCCCUCUUGCCAUGUGCCAGGGCAAGGGGCGGCAGGAGGAGCAGACACACUAAGGAUGACUUCUCUGAAGAGGAUCGUGGAGGCGCUGGGAGCCAAAGGCUGUUCAAAGCCCUUGGAGCCGGCAGCAGUGGAGAGACAUGCAAGUCCUGAACUGUAGGCAACGCACCCCAUGCUUCAACUGUGAGAAAACGUCAAGGAAAGGGGAUUUUUUUUUGUUGUUGUUUCUUCCUUUUUCCACUUUUCACAUUUCUGCAUGAUUACAUUUGAUAAUGAUGCCCACCUCCCAAAAGGUCGUGCAUCAAUUAGCAAGGGAAGGAAGGGCACACAUCAUUAAUUACACACUGGCCUGCGAAAUAAGAACAUGGAAUAAAGCAUAACAUUCUAAAAAUAGCAGGAGGCCUGCC